CCCAUAAUGGUCAAAUUUAUCCUUACAUCACUCGAGAGAUACACAAAUCUCCCAAACUUAUUAUUUUCACUCAAUUAUCUUGGGGUGUGUUCUAAGGUUAGGAGUUUAACAACUAUAAUCCUUACCCUCUCUUAGUUUGGAUAGAUCUUACCCUUACAAGUACACAUAUCAACAAGUAGAGACUCUCUUUAAUUUGAUU
rnacentral:lncRNA from 1 species